rnacentral:rRNA from 1 species
UACGGAGGGUGCAAGCGUUAUCCGGAUUCACUGGGUUUAAAGGGUGCGUAGGCGGGCAGGGAAGUCAGUGGUGAAAUCUUCAAGCUUAACUUGGAAACUGCCAUUGAUACUAUCUGUCUUGAAUGUUCUGGAGGUUAGCGGAAUAUGUCAUGUAGCGGUGAAAUGCUUAGAUAUGACAUAGAACACCUAUUGCGAAGGCAGCUAACUACGGAAAUAUUGACGCUGAGGCACGAAAGCGUGGGGAUCAAACAGG